rnacentral:tRNA from 1 species
GCCUGGGUGGCUCAGUAGGUUAAGCGUCUGACUUCGGCUCAGGUCAUGAUCUCAUGGUUUGUGGGUUUGAACCCCGCUUGGGGCU